GUGUCGUUGGUGUAGUGGUAACACACAAUCUACUGUUGGUGAAGGAUCGCUGAAUGAUUGGGUCCGGGGUUUGACUCCCCGAGGGCGCU